CCUCCCUCUUCCAUAGCCCGCAGUCGCAGUCGGAGUUGCUCUAAAACGCCACGUGAUGUUUCUGGUCUUCGGGAUGUCAAGAUGGUGAAGAAAGCCAAGACCAUGAUGAAGAAAGCCCAGAAGAAGAUGAAUCGCUUGGGGAAGAAGGGGGAAGCAGAUAGGCAUGUGUUUGAUAUGAAGCCCAAGCACCUACUCUCUGGGAAGAGGAAAGCUGGUAAAAAGGACAGGAGAUAAUGUCCUCUUCAGUCGGAGUAGUUUAACUAGACCCGUGAUUAUUUCUGAGUGUGUGAUGGUGUGUUUUAUAGAAUUUGGGAUCAACAUCUGUUAACCAAAGAAACGAUGGAAAUGACUUUUAAAUGCUUGUUGCUGUGCUGAAAACUGGUAAAGCCGAGUAAGCGUGUGGUGCCGUGGCCCUGUGCAGUCAGAUGUUACCUGCAGAGCGCUCUGUACUGGAUGACGCGCUUCUUUCACAGCCAAGGGACUCAUUUUGCAGAAAAGAUGUAUUGGUGUAAGGAGGCUGCUUUGGUGGGGGAAAACUUUUGUAGUAGAUCUUUUGACACCCAAAAUACCUAUUUUUGUUAAGAAAGUAUUCCUGCUGGGAGGUCUUACAUUUAGCGUGUAUCAGAACUUAAACUACAGUCUUAAAUUAUUUUCUGCAUCUGUAGUACAAUGCAUCAUUGUAACUUCAAACAUUUUAUCCAAAGUAAACAUCCAGCAAAAACAUAGUUUUGAUUAUUUACAUUUAGUUUGCUUUAAUUGCAAGUCUCUUGAUAGCCAAAAGGAAGGGGCAGGGAAUAGGACUUUGCUUAGAGCAAAAAUAGGUUUUUAAAGGGAAUAAGUGCCUGGAUAUGUCUUCUUUCACUAACAACUGCUGGAUUAAGAUUGGUGUCCUAGAAAGUAAAGAAACAUUGAUGAGAGGGAUCCCAGUGUGGCUGGAACUACACCACAGAUCAGAAGACAGCCUUCCCACUGUCAGCGCUUCCUGUCAGUGUGACCGCUUCUGACCUGUAUCGGAAACCAGUGAUGUAUACAUGUAUUAUAUUCUCUAUCCUAAAUCAUAUGGACUCUUUGAGACUUUUUUAAAAAAUAGUUUUAUUUGUCUUGGAUAUGUCAUGUAUUUGCAUUUCAAAUGUUAUCCCCUUUCUCCCCUCUUCCAUCCCCCUCCCCAGCUUCUAUGAGGGUGCUCCCACUCCCACCCACCCACUCCAACCUCAACACCCGAGACUUCUUAUAUUGGCUUUAGUUGUCUGAUGACAUUUGAUGUCUUGAUCUAUUUUUUUAUGUGUAGAUGAUUAAAGUCUAUAAUCAUUAGUAUGACUAAUACCUUGAUUAAAUCAUAGAAUUAUUCAUCUAACAGUAGAAGAUCUAGACAAAGCUUUUUUUUUCCUUAAUAGAACUUGUAUUUACUUAAAUUUCAGAGGCGUUAGUGAGAAAGGGUAGAGAGUGCUGUUCAAAACAAAACAAUUAAGCAAAUACAGGAGCAGAAUGUUCGAGGUCUUGAGCUUCACUGUGUUAGGAAUCUGUCCUCAUUGCUGUUAGAAAGAACUGGCUGUGAAUGCUGGUGUUUGGUAGGUAGGCACUGGGCUACCUCUCUGCCUACCAUGCCCUUUAGCAGUGCUGGUUACUAAUAGAAGAAGCUGGAAUGUGGUGGGGAUUCAGCCGCUCCUCCUCUGAGAGAGACACUAAAUAGUCUUUAAAUGUUAGAGGACUCAUUCUGAUUGUAAGCAUAUACUACAAAGACUACAAAGACUAAAGACAGCACUGCAGUACUGUCAUAAAGACAGCCAUGCAGAUGGUUGGAACAGAGUAGAGUAAUAGCAGAAAUCAUUAUCCUAAACAAUGGACCAGAACAAACAGUGGGCAAAGGACUGUUUCUCCAGCAGCCACUGUGGGAAAUGUAUGGUUAAAGUCAGG
ensembl:lncRNA